CCCGCUGACAUUUGGGUGUUGAAGGGCCGCGGUAUUUUGACCGUGCAAAGGUAGCAUAAUCAUUAGUUCUUUAAUUGUGAUCUGGAAUGAAUGGCUUGACGAGGCACGGGCUGUCUUAGUGUUGAAUGUUUUAUUGAAUUUGGUCUUUGAGUUAAAAUUCUUAGAUGUUUUUGUGGGACGAGAAGACCCUAUAGAGUUUGACAUUUGGUUUAUUUACUUGUUUGUUGUUUGUUUAUUUUUGGUGAGUGGGCUUUUUGUUUUGUUGGGGUGAUGGGAGGAAUGUACUUAACUCCUCUUAGUUUUGGUUAUAUUGAUUUAUAAUUGUUUGAUCCAUUUAUUUUGAUUAUAAGACUAAAUUACCUUAGGGAUAACAGCGCUAUCUUCCUUGAGAGUUCUUAUUUUUUUUGGGGUUAGC
rnacentral:rRNA from 1 species